CCUACGGGGGGCAGCAGUGGGGAAUAUUGGGCAAUGGGCGCAAGCCUGACACAGCAACGCCGCGUGAAGGAAGAAGGCUUUCGGGUUGUAAACUUCUUUUAAGGGGGAAGAGCAGAAGACGGUACCCCUUGAAUAAGCCACGGCUAACUACGUGACAGCAGCCGCGGUAAUACGUAGGUGGCAAGCGUUGUCCGGAUUUACUGGGUGUAAAGGGCGUGCAGCCGGAGAGACAAGUCAGGUGUGAAAUCCACGGGCUCAACCCGUGAACUGCAUUUGAAACUGUUUCCCUUGAGUGUCGGAGAGGUAAUCGGAAUUCCUUGUGUAGCGGUGAAAUGCGUAGAUAUAAGGAAGAACACCAGUGGCGAAGGCGGAUUACUGGACGAUAACUGACGGUGAGGCGCGAAAGCGUGGGGAGCAAACAGGAUUAGAUACCCCUGUAGUC
rnacentral:rRNA from 1 species